UUUCAUGUGGCUCUGUCAGUAGAGCAGUGUGCUAGCAACACAGAGGUCUUGGGUUCUAACCCCAGCAAGAAUU